GAUUCUAAAAGUUUGGGCUGUAGCCCCAAAGCAACGCAGAAGUCGUGCAGCACAUCAUCUUCAGACGUGGAAUAGACACCAUCUGCGAUCGCCACCAUUACCGCUGUUCGCAUAAAGUUUUCAGACGCGUGGGUAUUGCGUCCCAAACCUUCAGCUAGUUCAGCCGAGGUAAUGGUUUCAACCGGUCCCAAAUCGGUUGUAGGAGCAAACUCCAUCUGAGUUAGUUCCGCAAUUAACUCUUGCUCUUCUGGAUCAAAAUGUCCAUCUGCCCAGGCAAUGGUUAACAGUCCUCGUAACCAAACGGCAAUUUGUUGAUCGGUAUAGGGAGUUUCGACGGCACUAACC
rnacentral:misc_RNA from 1 species